rnacentral:rRNA from 1 species
GGCUCAGGAUGAACGCUAGCUACAGGCUUAACACAUGCAAGUCGAGGGGCAGCAUUGGGAUAGCUUGCUAUUCAGAUGGCGACCGGCGCACGGGUGAGUAACGCGUAUCCAACCUUCCUGCCAGUAGGGAACAGCCCGGCGAAAGUCGGAUUAAUGCCCUAUGUUCUUCAAUGCGGACAUCUAAGUUGAAGGAAAGAUUCAUCGCUGGCAGAUGGGGAUGCGUCCGAUUAGCUUGCCGGCGGGUAACGGCCCACCGGGGCGACGAUCGGUAGGGGUUCUGAGAGGAAGGUCCCCCACACUGGUACUGAGACACGGACCAGACUCCUACGGGAGGCAGCAGUGAGGAAUAUUGGUCAAUGGGCGUAAGCCUGAACCAGCCAAGUAGCGUGCAAGGAUGACGGCCCUACGGGUUGUAAACUGCUUUUAUGCGGGGAUAAAGUGCGGCACGUGUGCCGCUUUGCAGGUACCGCAUGAAUAAGGACCGGCUAAUUCCGUGCCAGCCGCCGC